UAACGCCUGACCCAAAAAAGUGAGCUCCUUUUUACUGCGGCUGCAUGGUGAAGCACAUGCCAAGCACGAGGGAUGUUUAGAAAAUCUUGCAUGAAGUCCAUUUUCUCUUAUUUGCUUCGCCGCCUUGGGCGCAAGUAAUCUGAAAUUCUUUUUUGGGUCUGAGAAGAUUUAAUUGAAUUUGAACCUCGCGAUUUUCUUAUGGCUCUCGUCUUCCUCCCUAGCUAAUCUCUAUCUUCUAUCUCCUCCCAAUUCUAUUUUUGUCUAUAAGCUAUCAACUUCUUCAUCGCCUUCAUCAAAGAGAACAGGGUAGAAUAAUUUCAUGAACACACUGUUCCUGUAUCGGAUUUGAUGGCAAGCAAAUUGGGUUUUGCAAAAUUGAAGGAAAAUCUUCCAAUCAAGCAAAAUGGUGCUGCCCACUUCGACUAGCUCUGUGAAGCAGUGGUUGAAGGAAUCUUGUAUUCCUUAUGUCCAUAGGGCAGGAGGUUAUUAGAGCAAUUUUGGGUAGGACAGCCUAUUGUGAAUUUGUACUAGUGAUUUUGGGGAGAAUGUGGUGGAUUCAUCAGGACAUGGGUUGAAUUCGAAUCCGGGUUUGGAGGUCCAGAGCAAUGGAAAUCCAGAGAGCUAUAUGGGUUUGUAAAGUGGUGAUUCGAGCUGUUGGAAUGGGAGCAAUAUAUUUUGAGCA